GGUUAAGCGACUAAGCGUACACGGUGGAUGCCCUGGCAGUCAGAGGCGAUGAAGGACGUGCUAAUCUGCGAAAAGCGCCGGCGAGGUGAUAUGAACCUUUGACCCGGCGAUGUCCGAAUGGGGAAACCCAGUGUGUUCCGACACACUAUCGUUAACUGAAUACAUAGGUUAACGAGGCGAACCGGGGGAACUGAAACAUCUAAGUACCCCGAGGAAAAGAAAUCAACCGAGAUUCCCCCAGUAGCGGCGAGCGAACGGGGAGCAGCCCAGAGUCUGAAUCAGCUUGUGUGUUAGUGGAAGCGUCUGGAAAGUCGCACGGUACAGGGUGACAGUCCCGUACACGAAAAUGCACAGGUUGUGAACUCGAAGAGUAGGGCGGGACACGUGGUAUCCUGUCUGAAUAUGGGGGGACCAUCCUCCAAGGCUAAAUACUCCUGACUGACCGAUAGUGAACCAGUACCGUGAGGGAAAGGCGAAAAGAACCCCGGCGAGGGGAGUGAAAAAGAACCUGAAACCGUGUACGUACAAGCAGUGGGAGCACCUUCGUGGUGUGACUGCGUACCUUUUGUAUAAUGGGUCAGCGACUUAUAUUCUGUAGCAAGGUUAACCGUAUAGGGGAGCCGAAGGGAAACCGAGUCUUAACUGGGCGUUAAGUUGCAGGGUAUAGACCCGAAACCCGGUGAUCUAGCCAUGGGCAGGUUGAAGGUUGGGUAACACUAACUGGAGGACCGAACCGACUAAUGUUGAAAAAUUAGCGGAUGACUUGUGGCUGGGGGUGAAAGGCCAAUCAAACCGGGAGAUAGCUGGUUCUCCCCGAAAGCUAUUUAGGUAGCGCCUCGUGAACUCAUCUUCGGGGGUAGAGCACUGUUUCGGCUAGGGGCCAUCCCGGCUUACCAACCCGAUGCAAACUACGAAUACCGAAGAAUGUUAUCACGGGAGACACACGGCGGGUGCUAACGUCCGUCGUGAAGAGGGAAACAACCCAGACCGCCAGCUAAGGUCCCAAAGUCAUGGUUAAGUGGGAAACGAUGUGGGAAGGCACAGACAGCCAGGAUGUUGGCUUAGAAGCAGCCAUCAUUUAAAGAAAGCGUAAUAGCUCACUGGUCGAGUCGGCCUGCGCGGAAGAUGUAACGGGGCUAAACCAUGCACCGAAGCUGCGGCAGCGACGCUUAUGCGUUGUUGGGUAGGGGAGCGUUCUGUAAGCCGUUGAAGGUGUGCUGUGAGGCAUGCUGGAGGUAUCAGAAGUGCGAAUGCUGACAUAAGUAACGAUAAAGCGGGUGAAAAGCCCGCUCGCCGGAAGACCAAGGGUUCCUGUCCAACGUUAAUCGGGGCAGGGUGAGUCGACCCCUAAGGCGAGGCCGAAAGGCGUAGUCGAUGGGAAACAGGUUAAUAUUCCUGUACUUGGUGUUACUGCGAAGGGGGGACGGAGAAGGCUAUGUUAGCCGGGCGACGGUUGUCCCGGUUUAAGCAUGUAGGCGGAACGAUUAGGUAAAUCCGGUCGUUUAUUAACGCUGAGGUGUGAUGACGAGGCACUACGGUGCUGAAGUAACAAAUGCCCUGCUUCCAGGAAAAGCCUCUAAGCAUCAGGUAACAUUAAAUCGUACCCCAAACCGACACAGGUGGUCAGGUAGAGAAUACCAAGGCGCUUGAGAGAACUCGGGUGAAGGAACUAGGCAAAAUGGUGCCGUAACUUCGGGAGAAGGCACGCUGAUAUGUAGGUGAAGCCCCUGCGGGUGGAGCUGAAAUCAGUCGAAGAUACCAGCUGGCUGCAACUGUUUAUUAAAAACACAGCACUGUGCAAACACGAAAGUGGACGUAUACGGUGUGACGCCUGCCCGGUGCCGGAAGGUUAAUUGAUGGGGUUAGCGGCAACGCGAAGCUCUUGAUCGAAGCCCCGGUAAACGGCGGCCGUAACUAUAACGGUCCUAAGGUAGCGAAAUUCCUUGUCGGGUAAGUUCCGACCUGCACGAAUGGCGUAAUGAUGGCCAGGCUGUCUCCACCCGAGACUCAGUGAAAUUGAACUCGCUGUGAAGAUGCAGUGUACCCGCGGCAAGACGGAAAGACCCCGUGAACCUUUACUAUAGCUUGACACUGAACACUGGUCCUUGAUGUGUAGGAUAGGUGGGAGGCUUUGAAGUGUGGACGCCAGUCUGCAUGGAGCCGUCCUUGAAAUACCACCCUUUAAUGGCUGGUGUUCUAACGUAGACCCGUGAUCCGGGUUGCGGACAGUGUCUGGUGGGUAGUUUGACUGGGGCGGUCUCCUCCCAAAGAGUAACGGAGGAGCACGAAGGUUAGCUAAUCCUGGUCGGACAUCAGGAGGUUAGUGCAAUGGCAUAAGCUAGCUUGACUGCGAGAGUGACGGCUCGAGCAGGUGCGAAAGCAGGUCAUAGUGAUCCGGUGGUUCUGAAUGGAAGGGCCAUCGCUCAACGGAUAAAAGGUACUCCGGGGAUAACAGGCUGAUACCGCCCAAGAGUUCAUAUCGACGGCGGUGUUUGGCACCUCGAUGUCGGCUCAUCACAUCCUGGGGCUGAAGUAGGUCCCAAGGGUAUGGCUGUUCGCCAUUUAAAGUGGUACGCGAGCUGGGUUUAGAACGUCGUGAGACAGUUCGGUCCCUAUCUGCCGUGGGCGCUGGAGAAUUGAGGGGGGCUGCUCCUAGUACGAGAGGACCGGAGUGGACGCAUCACUGGUGUUCGGGUUGUCAUGCCAAUGGCACUGCCCGGUAGCUAAAUGCGGAAAAGAUAAGUGCUGAAAGCAUCUAAGCACGAAACUUGCCCCGAGAUGAGUUCUCCCUGAGACUUUAAGUCUCCUGAAGGAACGUUGAAGACGACGACGUUGAUAGGUCGGGUGUGUAAGCGCAGCGAUGCGUUGAGCUAACCGAUACUAAUGAACCGUGAGGCUUAACCUU
rnacentral:rRNA from 1 species